CCCCUGCCAGCCGCGAGCCCUGCGUGGUCCUCCGUGCCGCGCCCCGCAACCCGACCCUGCUGCGGACGCUCGGCGCCAUGAGCGCCCUGGUCGCCGCCUCCAGGACCGCAGACGACGCCCCGGACGGCCCAGCAGACGGCGGAGCGCACCGAACCCCGGCCGGGAAGAACCACAAGAAGAUGACGGUGCCUCCUGGGGUCCCGCAAGGCGGCAGGGACUGAGGAAGGCCGCACAAGGGCGGCCUAGGCGAGGUCUCAUGAGGAGGCAGGGUCUCCACGCACUGGAAUAGUGUCACCCACACACAAGGGCACAGAACCCAGGGACACAGGAUGGCUGAGACACGCAGCUGGUGAUGUCCCUCAGGACGGUGUCAACCAGUAUGUAAUCACAUUCCACACGGCACCAACUGGACAGCGGCCUCCGAUCACCCUCACUCUGACUGCGACCCCUCUCACUGGACAGCAUCACCUGGACACAGAGCCUCACCCAAUCCGUGUCCCGUGGACCCAGCUUUACUUUGGGUGGUGACACCAAGAAUACUCACCCCUUAGCCAGACCACAGGCAGCCACCCGGGCACGAACAUCUCUCCAGACUCACCCUCCAUGCAGACUCCACAGCAGAACUCCCAGGGAGGCACCGGGACCAUGGCUUCGGAACACCAGGCAGCCCUCUGUGGUGCCCAGCACCCACUCAGCCAGGACAGCCUGCAGCGGAGCCUGGAGCCAGCAGCUUCUCAUCUCUUGGCCUCGGGAAAUGUAGCUGGAGUCAUCAUUUAGCAGAGCACAGUGUCCCUGGGUUGGUCACCCAGCUUAUUUUUUAAAUAAAAUAAUGUAAUCUUGGCCUAACCGUGGAA